UCCUACAUUCCAAGAAUAAAAAUCUUAUGUGUUUUCCUUGCUAGGUUAAAGUCAAGUUUCUCCUGCUUUGGGCACCUUCAAAUAGAAGACGUUUCUGCUUCUCUUGCUUCUGAGAACCCACGAAAUCAACACAUCCCCAAAAGACGCCUUGAGGAACGGAAAGUGUCCUGCACCCCCAACCCUCCCGCACUAAGAGCGGCGGAGGAUCCCACCGCUUCGCACUUCCCUGGAGGGACUCCUGGAUUAGGAGGUGCCUUCUGGUCUGGAAGAGCAUAUAAAUAGGAAGCCAGGAAUGAAAGGUAAAGCAGCCUCACUGCUCUUUGAUUGUUGGUCAGAAUGGUCAGGAUAUAAAUAAACAUUAGGCUUCGUCAGCUUAUAUGUUAAAAUGCCUAGGGUAACUUCUAAAUGAAUAGAAACAGUGUUUAUAACUUCUAAGUAAAUACAGAGAAAAUGAAAAAAAAAUCAUUUAAUGCAAAAAAAACCAAGAGGGGGAGAAUAUGUAGAAUGUAAAAUAAUUAUCUCCUUAAGACUGAAUAUUUUUAGUUUAAUCAACAUUGUCUUCUAGCACAGAGACACUAACAAAAUGUAUUCACUGGGAAACUUAUUUCUUUCUAAUCUUCAGGUUGUUUAAAAUAAUUUAUACUCAUAUAGCAGAUCUUUUUCUUCUUUUUCAUUUUUUUCUUUCUCUCUUUUUUUUUUUUUAGACAGUUUCACUCUAUAGUCCAGGCUGGAGUGCCAUGGUGCUAUCUCUGCUCACUGCAAUCUCUGCCUCCUGGGUUCAAGCGAUUUCCCUGCCUCAAUUUCCGGAGUAGCUGGGAUUAUAGGUGCACACCACUAUGCUGGGCUAAUUUUUGUAUUUUUAGUAGAGAUGGGGUUUAAUCAUAUUGGCUAGGCUGAUGAUCUCAAACUCCUGACCUCAAGUCAUCUGCCUGUCUUGGCCUUCCAAAGUGCUGGGAUUACAGGCAUGAGCCACUGUGCCUGACCCUUUUUCUUUUUUUAAUUUACUGUUUUUUCUCUGUCCCCUCAUUUUUUCUCUUUCUUUGCCUUCUUCCAUCUGUUUAUCUAUCUGCCCUUCUAUUAAUAUCACCUAUUUAUUUCUCUAUGCAUCCAUCCAUUCAUCCAUCUGUGCAAUCAUCCAUCCACUUCUCCUUCUAUACCACCAAAGCUCUUUUCUUCUAAACACCUACCUAUUCCUUCAUUCAUUCAUUUUAUAACCAGAAUCCUUUUUUCCAACCCAGGCCUCUCUCCAAGCCCUGCUACUUGACA
rnacentral:lncRNA from 1 species